rnacentral:lncRNA from 1 species
CUCGCGUCCUCCCCGCGCGGCGGACAGCCCGGGCGCCCUUCCUCUCUGCGGGACUGCAGGUCUAUCCGCUAAGCGCGCGUGACCAAAAACGGCUCUCAGCGGGUCCCAGCUGACGGAAGCUGACAAGUUUAUUUAAUCCCUGAACCUGGAUCCAAGGCAUCUCCCUGUAGAAAACAUCAGACCGGGGCAGAGAUUGACAAAGCAACCCAAAGCAGCAGCUGCCAACGGCCGCUGUGCCCACCUCAUCAGCAGCUAAAGAGUAUAAUUUUAAAAAAAGUCACAGAAGAAUGUGGAGACACUUAGCAAAACGGACUCUCAUAAGAGUGUUCGAUGGUGCUGCUACUAAUGAAAGAUUUGAGGAAACUCCUAAGGUCCCUCCAGUGUACAACAAUUUGGAGGCUGAUGGACUACAUCCAUGGGGUACUUUGUCCUCUGGCUUCCAAUUAGAUUCAGACAACAGGAAGCAUCAACAGCUAAUGGGAGACGAAGAGGAAAAAUUGGGGUACCUAUUCCCCUAGAUUACUCCCUGCUGAUUGCUGCAGAGGGGCUUCAUCCUUGCCCUGGUUUCUGGAAAACACUCUUUCAUUGCCCAUGCAGGCCUAGGAGUGAUGAUGCCUCACUGGAUGGCAAAGUCUCUUAUUGGUUUCCCUAAAUCUUACUCACAACUUGUAGAUACUCCCUCUAUUAAAUCCUUUUCAGUUACCCAGUUUGAGUGUGCAGUCUCUUUCCUGAUAGACUUUUACUGAUAUAGUGUCCUUCUUGACCUUAGUUACAAAGUCAUUUUCAAA